AUCAGAGAGUGUUUCCAUGUCAAGAUGAUUCACCCCACCAACCGGAUAAAACGCGCAUGCGCACAUACAUCAACUCUAAAGCACAAAGAACUACGUAGAGUGGGAAAAGUUUUUCAAUUCUAUACAAAAGAAAUUGUGCAUUCCAUUAUUUGAGUCAAAUAAUUUGAAUUAUUAAGUUUAAGUGCUCAAGAAUGUCUACAGAGUUUGUCAGGGCGGGCAAACCAAGGGUGUUUUUGCUGCAUGGAGAUCCUUAUCCUGCCUAAUAAAAACGGAUAAAAUGUAUAGCCUAACUGAUUACAGGAGGAGGAGGAGAAUCUCCCCCUUUACCCCCUUUGGACUCUAGUCACGACUGCAGACCACAGGAGGCUCAGACAGAGAGAAGGUGAAGAAGAUGAAGACGCUGGUGGUAUUUUCGCUGUGCCUGGUCCUGCUGACCUUCUACACAGAUGCCAACCCUAUCAUCAAAGAGAGCUCUGCUAAGCAGCUGCUCCGCAGCAAGAGGCAGGAGCGACCAAUGAAGGCCGGCCACCCCGAUGAGCCAAUGAGGGAGCAUCUUCUGCACAUGCAGGCUCUGGAUCAGAGGGCCCAGGAGACCAAUAUGGAGAACUGGCUGAACCCUCACUGCUACCCCCGCUGUGACAGGAACUACGGAUACCCUGUGUGAUCAGGUCACCACUAGCGUCUACUUUCAGGACCAACUCCAAAUGUUUGAUGCACAUGAAAGCACACAGUAAUUGACAGACCACAAAUGAGGACAUGGAUUCCAGACGGAAACAAUAAAAGGAUGAAAUACUCUCUCCUGAAAUGACCUCUUGAUGUCUGCUGACUAACUCAUAUAUAUAAUCUAAUAACAGCUGUGUAGUUUAGUGUCUUUAACAUCUCUAUUGUGUUCUACCAACAUUUAUGAAUAAAUCAUAACGCAUGAGA